UGGGGAAUAUUGCACAAUGGGCGCAAGCCUGAUGCCGCAACGCCGCGUGAGGGACGACGGCCUUCGGGUUGUAAACCUCUUUUAGUAGGGAAGAAGCGAAAGUGACGGUACCUGCAGAAAAAGCACCGGCUAACUACGUGCCAGCAGCCGCGGUAAUACGUAGGGUGCGAGCGUUGUCCGGAAUUAUUGGGCGUAAAGAGCUCGUAGGCGGUUUGUCGCGUCUGCUGUGAAAACUGGAGGCUCAACCUCCAGCCUGCAGUGGGUACGGGCAGACUAGAGUGCGGUAGGGGAGAUUGGAACUCCUGGUGUAGCGGUGGAAUGCGCAGAUAUCAGGAAGAACACCGAUGGCGAAGGCAGAUCUCUGGGCCGUAACUGACGCUGAGGAGCGAAAGCGUGGGAAGCGAA
rnacentral:rRNA from 1 species